rnacentral:lncRNA from 1 species
UCCAUAUCGUCCAUUUCCUCGAAUUUCAACUUCUUAAAUACUGCAUCGAAUUGCUUCACAUUAAUCUUACGAUGCACCCCACCAAAAUACGUAUUCCGUAGCCUCUGCUCCAUUUCAUCAUUUUCUUGAUUGGUAUCAACACCAAAUCAAAGUCCAGUAACCAAGCACCAUUCGACAAUUGACAAGCGAAUCAAAUGCUUACCAAUUUGAAACCAUAACUGAUCCUCACGGCUAUCUUCUUCAUGGGCCACUUGCCGCAGUAAAAGAUUGUGCAAAAUUACCCCACUAAAUGGAAAACUUCGACACUCCAAAAAAUGCCCAAAUAUAUCCUUUUUGAACAUACUCAACUGACGCUUUGUUAAUUUUUCCUCGAUGGCUUUUACGACCGAAGAUAACAUACACAUGCUCGAAAUUCGACCAGGAAAGUGAUCAGCAUAACGAAAAUACAUCUUGCCUACUUCAAUAUCCG